rnacentral:tRNA from 1 species
UUUUAAAUAAUUCCUUAAUUUCGAACUAAGGAUAGGGUGAUUCCUUUUUGAGGU